UACGUAGGCUGCGAGCGUUAAUCGGAAUUACUGGGCGUAAAGCGUGCGCAGGCGGUUAUGUUAGACAGAGGUGAAAUCCCCGGGCUCAACCUGGGGACUGCCUUUGUGACUGCAUGACUAGAGUACGGCAGAGGGGGAUGGAAUUCCGCGUGUAGCAGUGAAAUGCGUAGAUAUGCGGAGGAACACCGAUGGCGAAGGCAAUCCCCUGGGCCUGUACUGACGCUCAUGCACGAAAGCGUGGGGAGCAAACAGG
rnacentral:rRNA from 1 species